GGGUCGGCUGGCUGCUGGAGUGGCCAAGGGUCUGUAAAACCCCCGUCGAUUGGCGUGCAGGUUCGAGUCCUGCCCGACCCACCA
rnacentral:tRNA from 1 species